rnacentral:misc_RNA from 1 species
CAAAAGAGACUCCAACUACCCUCGGGGAGGGAGGUGGUCGUUCGCCCCCCGUGCCGCAGGGCGCGGUGGGCCGAAGUUGGGGCUGCCGGCGAAUCGUGUCGGGCACAGCACGUGGUGGGCGACAUCAGUUGUUCUCGGUGCAGCGCCCCGGCGCGCGGCCGGCGCAUCGGCCCUAAGGACCCAUCGAGCACCGCAGCGCACCGCCGCUCGG